CGGACGGGUGAGUAACGCGUGAGAAUCUGCCAUCAGGUCUGGGACAACCACUGGAAACGGUGGCUAAUACCGGAUGUGCCCGUAAUUGGGUGAAAGGUUAACUGCCUGUUGAUGAGCUCGCGUCUGAUUAGCUAGUUGGAAGUGUAAUGGACUCCCAAGGCGACGAUCAGUAGCUGGUCUGAGAGGACGAUCAGCCACACUGGGACUGAGACACGGCCCAGACUCCUACGGGAGGCAGCAGUGGGGAAUUUUCCGCAAUGGGCGAAAGCCUGACGGAGCAAUGCCGCGUGAGGGAGGAAGGCUCUUGGGUCGUAAACCUCUUUUCUCAGGGAAGAACACAAUGACGGUACCUGAGGAAUAAGCAUCGGCUAACUCCGUGCCAGCAGCCGCGGUAAUACGGAGGAUGCAAGCGUUAUCCGGAAUGAUUGGGCGUAAAGCGUCCGCAGGUGGCAAUGUAAGUCUGCUGUUAAAGAGUCUAGCUCAACUAGAUAAGAGCAGUGGAAACUACAUAGCUAGAGUACGUUCGGGGCAGAGGGAAUUCCUGGUGUAGCGGUGAAAUGCGUAGAGAUCAGGAAGAACACCAGUGGCGAAGGCGCUCUGCUAGGCCGUAACUGACACUGAGGGACGAAAGCUAGGGGAGCGAAUGGGAUUAGAUACCCCAGUAGUC
rnacentral:rRNA from 1 species